rnacentral:lncRNA from 1 species
UUUUCCAGAACGGCCUCGGACACAGCGCGAUUACGAGUACAGCUUCGCAUUCAAGAUGUUCCUCUUCACCUUCCUCAACAACUACUCGUCCCUCAUUUACAUCGCCUUCUUCAAAGGAAGGUUUUCAGGCGAUCCGGGACGCGAGGCGCAUUGGGGAGACUACACUCUGGAUAAGUGCGAAGGCGGUUGCCUAUACGAAGUCUUCGUCCAGCUCGCUACCGUCAUGUUGGGCCAGCAAUUCAUUAGGACCGGGAACAG